rnacentral:rRNA from 1 species
UAGGGAAUCUUCGGCAAUGGGGGGAACCCUGACCGAGCAACGCCGCGUGAGUGAAGAAGGUUUUCGGAUCGUAAAGCUCUGUUGUUAAGGAAGAACGAGUGUGAGAAUGGAAAGUUCAUGCUGUGACGGUACUUAACCAGAAAGGGACGGCUAACUACGUGCCAGCAGCCGCGGUAAUACGUAGGUCCCGAGCGUUGUCCGGAUUUAUUGGGCGUAAAGCGAGCGCAGGCGGUUAGAAAAGUCUGAAGUGAAAGGCAGUGGCUCAACCAUUGUAGGCUUUGGAAACUGUUUAACUUGAGUGCAGAAGGGGAGAGUGGAAUUCCAUGUGUAGCGGUGAAAUGCGUAGAUAUAUGGAGGAACACCGGUGGCGAAGGCGACUUUCUGGCCAUAUACUGACGCUGAGGUACGAAAGCGUGGGUAGCAAACAGG